GCAGUGGGUACGGGCAGACUAGAGUGCGGUAGGGGAGAUUGGAAUUCCUGGUGUAGCGGUGGAAUGCGCAGAUAUCAGGAGGAACACCGAUGGCGAAGGCAGAUCUCUGGGCCGUAACUGACGCUGAGGAGCGAAAGGGUGGGGAGCAAACAGGCUUAGAUACCCUGGUAGUCCACCCCGUAAACGUUGGGAACUAGUUGUGGGGUCCAUUCCACGGAUUCCGUGACGCAGCUAACGCAUUAAGUUCCCCGCCUGGGGAGUACGGCCGCAAGGCUAAAACUCAAAGGAAUUGACGGGGACCCGCACAAGCGGCGGAGCAUGCGGAUUAAUUCGAUGCAACGCGAAGAACCUUACCAAGGCUUGACAUAUACGAGAACGGGCCAGAAAUGGUCAACUCUUUGGACACUCGUAAACAGGUGGUGCAUGGUUGUCGUCAGCUCGUGUCGUGAGAUGUUGGGUUAAGUCCCGCAACGAGCGCAACCCUCGUUCUAUGUUGCCGGCACAUAAUGGUGGGAACUCAUGGGAUACUGCCGGGGUCAACUCGGAGGAAGGUGGGGAUGACGUCAAAUCAUCAUGCCCCUUAUGUCUUGGGCUUCACGCAUGCUACAAUGGCCGGUACAAAGGGCUGCAAUACCGUGAGGUGGAGCGAAUCCCAAAAAGCCGGUCCCAGUUCGGAUUGAGGUCUGCAACUCGACCUCAUGAAGUCGGAGUCGCUAGUAAUCGCAGAUCAGCAACGCUGCGGUGAAUACGUUCCCGGGUCUUGUACACACCGCCCGUCAAGUCAUGAAAGUCGGUAACACCUGAAGCCGGUGGCCUAACCCUUGUGGAGGGAGCCGUCGAAGGUGGGAUCGGUAAUUAGGACUAAGUCGUAACAAGGUA
rnacentral:rRNA from 1 species